GUAGUUUGGGAAUGCUGCUCAAAAUGGGAGGUAAACCCCUUCUAAAGCUAAAUACCGGCCAGAGACCGAUAGCGCACAAGUAGAGUGAUCGAAAGAUGAAAAGCACUUUGAAAAGAGAGUUAAAAAGCACGUGAAAUUGUUGAAAGGGAAGCGCUUGCGACCAGACUCGCGCCCGCCGGAUCAGCCGUCGCUUGUCGGCGGCGCACUCCGGCGGGCUCGGGCCAGCAUCAGUUCGCCUCGGGGGGAGAAAGGCGGCAGGAAUGUGGCUCCUCGGAGUGUUAUAGCCUGCCGCGUAAUACCCUCGGGCGGACUGAGGACCGCGCGUAUGCAAGGAUGC
rnacentral:rRNA from 1 species